UGACAGAGUUUUAAGCCUUCAGUCCAUUUCUUGGGGUUCUAGCUCAAGCUUAUGGGGUCUACCCUGUUCUCUGUCUCCCUUACAGUAUGUGUAAUCAUGGCUAUCUGACUCAAGGAACUGAAGCUCCAGUAUGAGGUAAUCUGGGUAAGAUGGCUUAGUCAUUGUACAUAAUUAAGACCAAGUCCCUGUAACACACAGGACCUGAGUCACACACACACACACACACACACACACACACACCCCACACAUACCACACACACAUACCAAAUACACAUAUCAUACCCCUCCAUACUCCUACACAUACACCCAUACAUACCACAUACUACAUACAUGCACACACAAUAUGUCUAUUCUUAGUUGUCAACUUGUCUACAUCUAGAAUUAGCUAAAAACAAAACAAAACAAAGCCACUAGGCACUCCUUCGAGGGAUAGUUUUUAGGUGAUUGGAUCACUGAAGGUCUGAAGACCCACCUUAAAUCUGGGCCACACCCUCUUAUGGCAGUUGAUAUAAAGGACAAGGGAGAAAGAAGUUCUUGCUCUUUGCCUGCUUGUCCUCACUCUUUCUGGAAAGUCUAUUCCUUCAUUGGCAUUAGAGCCUAUUUCCACAUUCCAACCAGCUGAGACAUUCAGCCUUGUGGACUGAACAACUACUGGAUUCUUGGACUUUCUGCUACUAGCCAGCCAUUGUUGGACCCAGCUGGACCACAGCCUAAAUGAACCUAAACAAACAAGCACCAGAAAAAUCCAGCUGGAAUAAUGAUGAAGACAUCCAAAAGUUCUCAUAAUGAUGGCAUCCAAUAUGGGGUGGUGUGACUAUCAGAUAACUGCAGAUGUUCUGAAGUAUCCUGGAGAGCUGAUUUCAGGGCUCAUCCCACCAGGAUCUCCAAAUCCACAGAUGCCCAAAACCUUUCUAUAAAAUUUCAUUGUAUGUAUAUAUAAAAUUCUCAAAAAUAAUGAAAAAUAAACUACUAGUAAAUGAAAAAUAUAGUAAAGUAUUUACAUUUAACCUAAGCACUUAUACUUGAAGUCAUUAGAUUAUUCAUGGUGUGUGUAUGUGUGUGUGUGUGUGUGUGUGUGUGUGUGUGUGUGUGUGUGUAUGUGUGUGGUACAUGGAUCUGAGGUGAGUGAUGGGUGUCUGUGGGUGUGAAAAUGUGGAGGACAGGGGAAAACAUUGGGGUCUCCUGUCACUCUUUACCUACUAUCUUGAGACAGGGUCUCUCACUGAACUGGUAGCUUGCUCUUUUGAUUAGGCUUCCUUGUCAGUGAGCUCCCAGGAUCCACUUGACUGCUCCACGGAUGCUAGUUUACAGGCAUGUGGCUCUGUGGUGGAGAUUUUAAUUCAGAUUCUUAGGAUUGCAUAGCAAGCACUCUUACCCACUGCUCCUUCUUCUCAGUUCCUAUUCACAGUACUGAAUACAAUGUAAAUGUUAUGCAAAUAGUUGUUAACAAUGUUAACAAUAGCUGGGCACCAUAGUGCACACCUGUAAUCCCUGCACUUUGGAGACAGAGGCAGAAAGAUCAGGAGUUCCAGCCUAUCCUCAGCUACACAGUGAUUUCAGAGCCAGCCUGGGCUACAUGAGAGUUUGACAUAACAAGAUAAAACAAAACAUGUAGCAGUGAUUUAUUUGGGCACACAAUGACAAAACAGUCCCUACCUGUUUAGUAUAGUUGCACUGUCCUCUACCCCCUGAGUAUCUAUCUGAAUCUUUGGUUGCUGAACUUCUAGUUAAGGCAGACUGACUGUGCUGUAUAAAGCUCUUAGCCUGAGGCCUGGCUUACAAAGGACAUUUAGUAAAUGGAUGUCAUUACUGUUGCUAUUAUGAAUGCCUUGAAGGGUAUUUCCACAGAGGGCAUUUCUGGAAGGAGUCUCAUUUGGCACUGGGUACAUCCUCAGGACCUAAAGACUGUUCUGUGAGAGUUGACCCUUAGGUUUCAGAUGUGCAGGGCAGAAUGUUCUUUGUAGUAGAGGGAUCCUUCCUUGAGAGCAAUCACAGUCCAUUCUGUGGUUUAGCAGCAGAGAAGAGCUGCACACACAAUCUGCAAGAGCUCAUCAGCUCGUGGUUUCUGAGUCACUGUUAGGUCAUUUCAGCUCCAAACAGGAGGCCUGGGCCGGAAGGGCAGUGGCUGGAGACAACUGGACCUUACCAGAGAUCCUCCUUCAGGAUCAGCCUCUGCAUGGAAGCCUAGCUAGGGCUGAGAGAUGCUCAGUAUUUGUUUCUAGGAUAAAAACAGAGGCCCUAGUGGAAAGGGUGCUCUCAGUAAGGUCCAGCUGCAGAGCUGGGCAGCUCCUGGGUUCUCUGCUCUCUUGUCCUAUGCUUGUCCACAGAUCCUGGUUGAAAGGAAAAGUAUUGGCUCAGGACCCUGAAGGCCAAGUUCUCAGCACAAAGGAGAUUUAUUUGCCCCGGAGGGACAGGGGGCAGGGAUAAUGGUCAAAGACAGAAGAUAGAGGAAGAGGGAGAAGGGGAAGGGAACCAGGGAAAGGGGACAGGGGUACUUGUUCCAGAGGGACAAAGGACUGUCUGGAUGGAGAGGAGACAGAUGUGGCACAUAGGUAAAUGGAAGUUUAUAAAAGUGCAAUGGGGAAACCCUGUGUUAGGAUGAGGUGUUUAAUUUUAAUUGGACAUGUUAAUUAGGUGAACCAAUGGGUGAUUUUGAUUGUUGGACUUCAAUACUUUGAUAGCUGGACCUUGGUAGUCAGCUUCAGGAGGAGGCAGUAGCCAUAAAAGGGAAUUGAGCUUGGGACUAGCUUCAGGAAUGUGAGGCAAACGUGAUAAGCACUACACUACAGAAACAACAUGCUUAGUUUCAGGAAUGUAAUCCAAUGGUUUUUAGCAAAGCUGAAGGAGAAGGAAGGGCAAGG
ensembl:lncRNA